rnacentral:sRNA from 1 species
CUCUCCUGUGCCCUCUGGGGGAAGUGGGAAGAGUCAGUCCCACCCAGCUGCCGCCUGGUACCCGGGCUCCAGGCCACCGGAGGAUUUGGCCCCCAGCCACUGAGCCCUUAGCACACACCUCCCCCACAGGUCCUGGAGAUGUGGCUGAGCUACCUGCAGCCGUGGCGGUACGCGCCUGACAAGCAGGCUCCGGGCAGCGACUCCCAGCCCCGGUGUGUGUCGGAGAAAUGGGCGCCCUUUGUCCAGGAGAACCUGCUGAUGUACACCAAGUUGUUUGUGGGCUUCCUGAACCGUGCGCUCCGCACAGACCUGGUCAGCCCCAAGCAUGCGCUCAUGGUGUUCCGAGUGGCCAAAGUCUUUGCCCAGCCCAACCUAGCUGAGAUGAUUCAGAAAGGUGAGCAGCUAUUCCUGGAGCCAGAGCUGGUCAUCCCCCACCGCCAGCACCGACUCUUCACAGCCCCCACAUUCACUGGGAGCUUCCUGUCACCCUGGCCACCAGCGGUCACUGAUGCCUCCUUCAAGGUGAAGAGCCACGUCUAUAGCCUGGAGGGCCAGGACUGCAAGUACACCCCGAUGUUUGGGCCCGAGGCCCGCACCCUGGUCCUGCGCCUCGCUCAGCUCAUCACACAGGCCAAACACACAGCCAAGUCCAUCUCUGACCAGUGUGCGGAGAGCCCGGCUGGCCACUCCUUCCUCUCGUGGCUGGGCUUCAGCUCCAUGGACACCAAUGGCUCCUACACAGCCAACGACCUGGACGAGAUGGGGCAAGACAGCGUCCGGAAGACAGAUGAAUACCUGGAGAAGGCCCUGGAGUACCUGCGCCAGAUAUUCCGGCUCAGCGAAGCUCAGCUCAGGCAGUUCACACUCGCCUUGGGCACCACCCAGGAUGAGAAUGGAAAAAAGCAGCUCCCCGACUGCAUCGUGGGUGAGGACGGACUCAUCCUUACGCCCCUGGGGCGGUACCAGAUCAUCAAUGGGCUGCGAAGGUUUGAAAUUGAGUACCAGGGGGACCCGGAGCUGCAGCCCAUCCGGAGCUAUGAGAUCGCCAGCUUGGUCCGCACGCUCUUCAGGCUGUCGUCUGCCAUCAACCACAGAUUUGCAGGACAGAUGGCGGCUCUGUGUUCCCGGGAUGACUUCCUCGGCAGCUUCUGUCGCUACCACCUCACAGAACCUGGGCUGGCCAGCAGGCACCUGCUGAGCCCUGUGGGGAGGAGGCAGGUGGCCAGCCACACCCGCGGCCCCAGGCUCAGCCUGCGCUUCCUGGGCAGUUACCGGACGCUGGUCUCACUGCUGCUGGCCUUCUUCAUGGCCUCUCUGUUCUGCGUCGGGCCCCUCCCAUGCACGCUGCUGCUCACCCUGGGCUACGUCCUCUAUGCCUCUGCCAUGACACUGCUGACUGAGCGGGGGAAGCUGCACCAGCCCUGAAGGUGUCAGCUGCUUUCAGAGUAGGCUGGAGGGAUUUGCCACACAGCCCCACCCUCGGGCCUGAGAGGACCUGGGAAGCCCCUCCAGGAGGGAACACGGUCAUCCUCGGGUUUCUGGAGUGGGGUUCCUGCAGCCGCAGAGGCAUCUAGAGGAAACGCAACCAAGAAGGGAAGGCAGGUGGGCCCCAGCAAAGGAGUGGCUACCAGGGCUCAACAGCCACGCUCUGUGACAGCGCAGAGCUCAGCGCCGGCUUUUCCCUCCCUCUGCCAAGGAGUCAUGGCCAAGCUAGCUCUCGGGGCCUUUUUUCCAGUGCCCAUUUGGGUACUCUGCUGCACCAAGCUAGGGAGCCAGCCUGCCAACAGCCCCCUGGGCCUGGCCUCCCCACUGGCUGGCCUUGAGGUGGGCAGAGUGGGUUGUGGCGCCUCCUCUCCCUGUGUGGGACCAGGACAGUGGCUCAAGUCUCCACUCCAGGAAAGAAUCAAAGUUUCUAGAGUUGUGAGAAAACUAGAGAGUGGCUCUCCUGAUUCUUCGCUGUGGGGGGCAUUCUUCAUGUUCUCCCAGCUGUUCCAAGACUGGGCCGUAGAAUUCCAUGUUUCAGGAGCCUAAGACCCUCCCAGAGCCCGGGUGCUUCACCGCCAGACCCCCAGCCAUUGAGCACAUCACCCAAAGCAGUGGCCAACAUCGCGGACCCCUGUGCCUUGUCACAGAUGGGUGCUGGUCCUCAGGCGUUGGGGACACUGCUGGGUCGAUGGGGUCGGAUUCUGCCAGUUUCUGCUCUGCAUCCAAAGAUGGUCAGAAGCAUUCUCACUUCACUAACAUCAAGUGCUCAAAGACAUGGCAACCGUUCAAUGGUACUUAAGUAUUCAAAAUAGACAACUACAGAUUCUCUGACAGAAACCAGCACGGGGUCUUCACCUUCAUUCACCCCACAGACGACACGCGAGGGAGAACAGCAUCUCAGUGGUGAUUUCCAAACCAAGCCUUCGUUUUCAGUGUGGGGUUUUGGGGGUUUGCUUUAAUGUUUUUAAAAUUGUAAAUGUUGGGCUUUGUAUUUUGAUGUAAACUGAGAAUAAUGGCAUUUUAGGGCCUGGGACCAAAAAUCAAGCUUGUAACUCGACCAUGGAUCUGAAUAAACCUGUCCUUGCUUCUG